rnacentral:rRNA from 1 species
AGCUAGUUUAUUAAAAUAGCGAGCUUAAACUUUGUAAGUUAGGCGCAUUGAAAAAAUAAAAGUUAUUUUAAUAAGACCCGAAGCUAAGUGAUCUAAUUAUGGGCAGGCUAAUAAAAUAUAAGGCCGUACCUGUGAAUGUUGCAAAAUUCUAGGAUGAUCUGUAAUUAGGGGUGAAAGGCUAAUCAAACUUAGUGAUAGCUGGUUUUCCGCGAAACCUAUUGAAGUAGGGGGUUAAUUAAUAAAUAGCGUGGUAAAGUUAACUUAAGGCAGGUAUUCUCGCAAGCCGUUUGAACCUCAUAAUACGCUAUUUUUAAAAUUAAUACUCAGACCAAUGGCGCAAAGGUCUUUGGUCAAAAGGGGAAACAGCCCUGACCGAAUAAUAAGGUACAUAAAAUACCGCUAACUACAAAGAAUUAACUUUAAUUCUAACUGCAGGUGGGCUUGGAAGCAGCCAUCCUUUAAAAGAAAGUGUAACAACUCAUAGUUAGAAACGGUAAAUGUGUAUAAGCUUACCUAUUUUUGUUAGUUCGAAAAAUGUUAGAAAAUAUGCGGUAUACCGAAUUAACGG